GCGCAAAUGGUGGAACGGUAGACACGCUAGUCUUAGGAACUAGUACUUCGGUGUGAGAGUUCGAAUCUCUCUUUGCGCACCA
rnacentral:tRNA from 1 species